rnacentral:tRNA from 1 species
GUGGGCGUAGCUCAGCUGGUAGAGCUCCGGAUUGUGGCUCCGGUGGUCGUGGGUUCAAGUCCCAUCGCUCACCCCA